rnacentral:rRNA from 1 species
UACGUAGGUGGCAAGCGUUGUCCGGAUUUAUUGGGUUUAAAGGGUGCGUAGGUUGUUCUAUAAGUCAGUGGUGAAAUACGGCAGCUUAACUGUCGAGGUGCCAUUGAUACUGCAGAACUUGAGUACAGACGAGGUAGGCGGAAUUGACGGUGUAGCGGUGAAAUGCUUAGAAAUCGUCAAGAACACCGAUAGCGAAGGCAGCUUACUAGACUGUAACUGACACUGAGGCACGAAAGUGUGGGGAUCAAACAGG